CGUCGCGAGGUCCUUUUAUCAGCUCUCCCUGUGUCUGGCGGAGCCAUGGUUGUUUUAGCGGGCCUAGCUGAAGAACUCGGAGGAAAUGUGAUCUCAUUGCUGAAUGAGUUGGGGGGGAAAAGGGAUCCUCUGACAUGAGGUGCUGAGGACCUCCAACAAGCUGGGUUUCCUCACUGCCCUCGCCUUCAGCACUGAUGCAGCGCCAUGUUUCUGCUGCAGCAAAGGAUAGCCUCCCUCUCCCAGGCUUCAGCAGGGCUUCAGCAUCAAAGGUCACUUUGAUGGCAGAAGUAUGAGCCUGAUGAACUGGUGACAGCAGUUUCUGCUGCAGCAAAGGAUGGCCCCUUCUCCCAGGCUUCAGCAGGGCUUGACUGACGAAUCCAACAAUCAUGGAGAUAUGGAGUGUCGGCAGCCUUUGAGUAUGGAUGCUAAGUCAGCGUUGAGCAGCAGGACGCACCGUCAGCACUUUGAUCUGCGGUCACUCGCUUCUGGAGUGAAAUGUAACUGCUUUGCAAAUGACCGAACUUUGUAAAGGCAGCAACAUUUGUUGACGGCAUCAGAUUUAGCCUUUUCCCUUUGUCUACUGCUAAUCAAUAACUCAUAAAAUAUCAAUCAAUAAAUUCAAUCACUCCAAA